rnacentral:Y_RNA from 1 species
GGCUGAUUUGAGUGCAGUGGUAUGUAUAACUAAUUGAUUACAACCAGUUAUAGAUUUCUUUGUUCCUUCUCCACUCCCACUGCUUUACUUUACUAGCUAAAA